GUUGACCUUCGCAAGGAAACAUCGCUGCGUCUAAAUUUGGUUUCGGAUAGUUGAAUUGACUGUGCUGGAAAUCUGGUUUCGGCCCGCAGCACUGAUCGAAGGGGGAAGAGUGCCCUCACGACAUUGUCAAGGGUGGAUCAGUCGUGAGUGCAGGGAACAGCUCUAUCGAAGCUUGCGUGACUCUGUGAUCUGGAGAGCUAUGCCGGCGGUAGUUUAACUACCGGUAGGGUCACCCAUGCCAGAAAAAUCAAAGGAUGGGCGUGAGAAUCUUCAGUCUGACCCAAGUAGCGGAGUCCUUCAGCCUCUCGAAAUGCAGACGCAGUCACAAAUGGCCGCGAAAUGGUGACGCGAGAUAGUCAUGGCCUCUCGGAAUGAUGGCGGAUGAAUCAAACAACAAUAAGGAGAUGUUUCGUCAGACCCUUCAUGAAUAGUUAUGGAAUGCGCGGAGAGUUCGUCCCACACAGACCCACGGACGAGCAGAAGCAGCGGAGACUCACAUCAUACCAAAAUGUGCGGAGAGUUCGUCCCACACAGACCCACGGACGAGCAGAAGCAGCGGAGACUCACAUCAUACCAAAAUGUGCGGAGAGUUCGUCCCCCACAGGCCCACGGACGAGCAGAUGCAGCGGAGACUCACAUCAUACCAAGGCUUCAUCCAGACUUGUCAAGACAAUCCCAUGUUCACUUUAUCGUGAUCUGUCCUUCCUAAGGCGAAAACGCCCUCAAAGGAAAGAGGUUUCAGGAUGCUGAAGACAUUAAGAUAAAAGUGAAGGCUAAACUGAACUGAACUGAAUUAUGUUCCUUUGGAGGCCUCUACUGACUGUUUUGAUUUUUAAACCAUGCAACAAAUAUAUUCAAGUAGGCUGAGAUUACAUUGAAUAGAAAUAAAGCAAAUUUUUAGUUUCUUUUAUUUUUUAUUUCUUAUUUCACACCAGUUCUGGAACUUUAUAAUCGCUAAGUUUGUCCGCUUUUGAUAAGUUAACUUACAAUUGAUGUAGGAAUUUGUCUGCGCUAUGAAGUCACAGAUACUCACUUAGCUGUCAUAGCAGUACAGGAAACCCUCCAUCUGCCUCCCGCUGCGUGCGACAAAGCGCAGGAUAAGGGAUGAAAGCCCAACUGAGAACCACGUUUGACAUCAUGCUGGUACACCACACGGUGGUGACGAUGCAGUUCAAAGAUGGAAUGAUAAUCACAAAGAGAAACUAGAACGUUGCCCCAAUUCCUCUUUAUCGAUCAGUCCCACUGAAACAUGUGUUCCGGUGCAAUGUUUAACUUUCACGAUCCCCACUGAAACAUUUGGCCUAGUGCCUGUUUUUCGUCAUCAACCCCACCGAAUCAUCUGUCCUGGUGCCUGUUUAACCAUCACCAGUCCCACUGAAACAUUUGUCCUAAUGCCUGUCUUUCGUCAGCAGCCCUACUAAAACAUCUGUCAAUGUAUGAUUUCCAAUCACCAGUCCAACAGAAACAUAUGUCCCAGUGCUUUUUAGGCUCUUGUAAACGUGGGAAUAAACCUUCGUUUUCCAUAACUGACCAGAUGAAUGACAGUCAGCUUAUAAAGAAAGACUCUGCCUUACAGAGCUAGUUCGUCAUUUAAGUUCUUGAUCAGCUACGUGACUAUCAGCUUCUUAAGAAAGAUCCAUCUUCGUAGAAUUUGUUCCUUAGUUUGUUGAUCCGUUAGUUCUUAACCAGAUGGGCGACUGUAUGAUUCUGCUCCAGCGAGUUAGCUUAUUCAGUGAUUGUGGAGUUGAGUGUGCCUGGGUGGGAGGGUGAAUGGAAGUGAUUUCAAGAAAUAAUUAGAAACUACAGAAGUCAGUGCUUCCAGGGAGCCUCCAUGUGUCAGUUCUGUCACACACGA